UUACCCCCCUUUUAUUGCCUAUCUUGGACCUGUGUUCUUGAUGAUUAACGCAGGGGGGUAAAUUAUCCCUCUCAUAAACCUGUGGUGGAGGCUCAAUCCCUCGCUAUGGAUCCUGUCGGGAGAAACAAGU
ensembl:snoRNA small nucleolar RNA SNORA26